rnacentral:lncRNA from 1 species
AGGGCAGAUCCAGCCCCGGGGCUGUGCCAGGGCUCGGGACGGGCUGGGUUUGCAGAUCCAGCCCCGGGGCUGUGCCAGGGCUCGGGACGGGCUGGGUUUGCAGAUCCAGCCCCGGGGCUGUGCCAGGGCUCGGGACGAGCUGGGUUUGCAGAUCCAGCCCCGGGGCUGUGCCAGGGCUCGGGACGGGCUGGGUUUGCAGAUCCAGCCCCGGGGCUGUGCCUGGGCUCAGGACGGGCUGGGUUUGGGGCAGAUCCAGCCCCGGGGCUGUGCCAGGGCUCGGGACGGGCUGGGUUUGGGGCAGAUCCAGCCCCGGGGCUGUGCUCACGGUGGGCUCGGGCACUGCCUCCCCCCACAGCCCCAGCUCGUUCCUGGCUGUCCCCCGGCCGUGAGCUCCGAUGGGCUCCGCCGGUGCCAGCGGGAGGCUCUGGGGGUACGGGGCACACACGGGGGGUUCAGAUCGCUCCCCAGCUUCCAGCGGCACCCGCUCCCCUCCUGCCCUGGGUUUGUCUCUUCCCUUCUUCUGGACGAGGUCACCGGGGCUGUUGCUGCUCCCAGCGGGCUCUCGGGGUGUCUUUGUCGCCUUUAAGCUGCUUUUUCCUCCCUUGGGGCUCCCAGUCCCGCUCCCCGCGGCUCCCUGGCUCGGCGGCUCCUUGCUCCGGGAUUUUGGGGCAGAUUUGCGGGGAGCGGGGCCGGGCUCCGUCCGUUCCCCGCGGCUCCGCGGCUCCUUCUCCCGGACCACCCUGGCUCGGUGCUUCUCGAUCACCACCUUCACCCCUUCCCGCAGCCUCUGGGGCACAUCCUCCACCUCCUCGGGGUGCAGGUCCAGGCUGCGGGCCACGUCCUGCACGGCACCGGGGGCAGCAGGGCCGGUACCGGGGGCCGGGCGGGGACGCGGCGCUGGGCUCCGCUCCGGGGCGCUGCCGCUGGCGGCGGAGGGCUGAGGGUUCGAUACCGGUGCGCUGGCGGGGCUCGGGCGUGCCGCUGAACCUCGGUCACUGCUCGGGACGGGCCGCGCGGCGCUGCCGGGGCCCGGCCCGGGGCUCGCUGCCGGCGCGGCCUUGCAGUGCGGGAGGUGCGCGCGGAGCCGCUUGA